rnacentral:rRNA from 1 species
AUUGAACGCUGGCGGCAUGCCUUACACAUGCAAGUCGAACGGUAACGGGCCUUCGGGUGCCGACGAGUGGCGAACGGGUGAGUAAUGCAUCGGAACGUACCCAUCAGUGGGGGAUAACUCUCCGAAAGGAGGCCUAAUACCGCAUAUUCUGUGCGCAGGAAAGCGGGGGACCGCACAGCCGCGCGCUGGUGGAGCGGCCGAUGUCAGAUUAGCUAGUUGGUGGGGUAAAGGCCUACCAAGCCGACGAUCUGUAGCGGGUCUGAGAGGAUGAUCCGCCACACAGGGACUGAGACACGGCCCAGACUCCUACGGGAGGCAGCAGUGGGGAAUUUUGGACAAUGGGGGCAACCCUGAUCCAGCCAUGCCGCGUGAGUGAAGAAGGCCUUCGGGUUGUAAAGCUCUUUCGGCCGGGAAGAAAUCGCAUCUCCUAAUACGGGGUGUGGAUGACGGUACCGGAAUAAGAAGCACCGGCUAACUACGUGCCAGCAGCCGCCGUAA